GGUAGAAUGGAUGAUAGUUCUUGGUCACAUAUAUGAAUCUAGAGAGAAUGGAUGGUAGAUCUAAGAUCUAGAUCUUGAGAGAAAUUGGUGGUUGUUCUGAAAGAAGCUCCGAAGAAUUGUCAAGGGGGAUGGUGUAAUACCCCGACCAGGAAAUAUCUAAGAUUGACUAAAUUUUAAAAAAUAAAUAAAAAUUGUAAAAGAAAUGGUUAGUUCAAGCAUAAGGGCAAAACUGUAAUUCUAAAAAUUUAGAAGACACAUUAGUCAUUUACAAAAAAAAAAAGAAGGGAGAGAAUGGCCCCUCCCCCUCUCUUUUUUCUUCUUCUUUUCUUCCUUCUUCUUUCUUUUUUGGUUGCUCUCACUUCUUUCCACUCUCCUUCACAAACCAGCAGCUGCCACAUCCCACCAACCACUUUUCUGGCCAACAUUCAUGCAAGCCUUUAGUUCACUCAUUUAGCUCCAAAUCAAGGUGCAAUUGAAGGAGUCUACACUUGGAUUCUAUUGUUGAUUGGAGUAGCAAGCUUGAGUAGGUGAAGUUCAAGAACUUGAAAA